ACAAGAAGAAGAAGAAGUAGUAGUUUGUGCCGUUGAAAUUGCCGAUUGUGUUGCUAUAAUUGAUGAGUUUUAAAAGAUUACGAUACCCAAAGUGAAGUCCCCGCUCGCAUUAGACCAGGAAGUUGUUUUCUGUUGUUCCCGCUGUGCUCAUGUCCCGCAUGCUGCUGCUACGAUCGUUCAAUGUUGUCCACUUUUAACACGUUUGUUCUUGUCUGCUUUUUAAACCCUUUUGUUUCUGUCGUGUACAAGUCGUGUCACCGCCACAGGAAGAACUUUGUUUUCUUGCUUUGCCUUUGACGCGUUUCUUUCAUAUUACGCAUAUUUCAUGUCUUUGUUACUUUUAUAUGUAUGGGGAUAUGUUGAUUGGCAACACUAAAUUGGCCCUCGUGUGCCGCUGUGCUCAUGUCCCGCAUGCUGCUGCUACGAACGUUCAAUGUUGUCCACUUUUAACCCGUUUGUUCUUGUCUGCUUUUUAAACCCUUUUGUUGCUGUCGUGUCACCGCCACAGGAAUAACUUUGUUUUGUUGCUUUGCCUUUGACGCGUUUCUUUCAUAUUACGCAUAUUUCAUGUCUUUGUUACUUUUAUAUGUAUGGGGAUAGGUGGAUUGGCAACACUAAAUUGGCCCUCGUGUGUGAAUGUGAGUGUGAAUGUUGUCUGUCUAUCUGUGUUGGCCCUGCGAUGAGGUGGCAACUUGUCCAGGGUGUACCCCGCCUUCCGCCCGAUUGUAGCUGAGAUAGGCUCCAGCGCCCCCGAAGGGAAUACGCGGUAGAAAAUGGAUGGAUUUAAAAAAUACGUAUCAACAUAACACAUAAAGAGUUUUAGACUUAGUAGGGACUGAGGACACCACUUAAAUGAUCGCCCUCUUGCAGUAGGAUACAUCAUAUACAACAGCAUCCUGGGUCAAGCCUGCCGGAGAAGCAAUGACUGCCCUCACUGUGAAGGUCAGUCCUUAGAUCAUCAUGUUGGAAGGGAAUUCACGCCAGGGAAAUACUCUCUGGUAUCUCCCUUUGUGCUGGAGUGGCUGAGCAAUGGCUGCCAAGGCAGAGCCAGGAAGGCUGAGUCCUUCUUCCGCAGCUGUCGCAAGAUGAGAGAUGCCAGAAGUCUGGAGGACACUAAUGGAGCUUGCAGAUGGAAGUGCACGCAGCCAUUUUUUUUGGGUGGAACCACUUGGCCUAUCCAGUUUUCCACGGCAUCUCUAUAUGUUCGGUGUGUGUUUGUGGCAGCAUCAGACUCCUCACAGGGGUAAGCAUCCUUUUUCUUUUCUUUUUUUACAGUUUUUUUUAAGAUAACAAACCCGCAUGUUUCCUUCGAUGAAGGAAAGACGGCGAGCAAUAAAAAAAUCCACCCUUAUAGGUAAGUUCUUAUGUUUGAAAAUAUCUUAUCUUAUCUUAUAUUUUUGAACUCUGCUUCAACUGUGGCUGAACUGAAAUAGUGGCACCAUUAUUCCUGUCCAGAGUGGUAAGUAACUCACAAGUGGUAUUAUAUGGGUAAUAAUCUCAGGGAGGAAGUGGAUGUUAUCACGAUCUCCAUCAGCCAUGGCAAGUGACCUGCUCACCUCAGUAAGUUUUCAUGUUUGAAAAUAUCUUGUUUUAUAUUUUUGAACUCUGCUUCAACUGUGGCUUAACUGAAAUAGUGGCACCAUUAUUCCUGUCCAGAGUGGUAAGUAACUCGCAAGUGGUAUUAUAUGGGGUAUAAUGUCAGGGAGGAAGUGGAUGUUCUCGCGAUCCCCAUCAGCCAUGGCAAAUGACCUGCUCACCUCACACAUUUCAGUUACUCACUGCCGGGCGUCAGUCUGGAUCUGAGCACAUGCAUCCACUUGUUGCUGUUCUUCACCCUUGUCAUCUGGGACGGCGACACACUCUUGUGCAAUUUGUGCCCUCCGGUAUUUCUUGCACCUUUCUGAUGAGAAACGGACUCCAGAACUAUCAUUACCUUCGGCUUAAAUAGUGAUAGCGCACAACAGUUAUUUUGCAUGCUCCACAGACUGAUUUAAAGAAGCUGCACUAUAGACCUUAUAAAAAAAAUCUUUAAUCCUGAGUUUUUUUUCUUCAGGCAGUCCCAGUUGCAGAUCAUCUUGAUGCAGUGUGCAACAUCAACCCUGACAAAACAAUGUGGUAGUUUUGCAUCUUGUUUACCAAGUAAAAUGUUAAGGAAUUAAUUGAUGUAACUUUUCAGGUCAGGAUAAGGAGUAAACACCUUCACAAGAGCUCCUAGAAUGGCCAGAGAAAAAAAUCACUCACAACUUCUUUUGGGACAGGUGCACCUGCACCGGUCAGCCAAUGUGCGAUGGCAUUAAGGUCAUGUAUCUCUGACAGCAUUUGCACCACUGGGAGACUGCUGUGCCCUGUCAGAACACCCUGAUACAGAAAGAUAUGAGCCAUUUGGCCUUGUCAGUUUUCUUACAACUGAUCCAGUUGCAUCAAAACUGUCUGGUGGGUUUUCUAUAUGAAGGUCUUGUACACAUGCAUCCGUGUUUGACUCCAGUAGUGACAGAAAAACUUGUCCAGUCCAAUGUCUCUGAUGCUUCCACUGUGAGGUGAACUGUAUUUUAACAGCUGCAAUAAUUAAAUGUGAUUUUUGUCACCUAAUUCCAAAUCAUUCCUUUCUUGUUUUGCUUUGCGCAGGGUGGACAAAUCGGGUAGAUGAGUUAGAUCUGGAUCUCCAAAGUCCAUAAGCCUGUGUGCCUGUGAUGCCCUCCAGACAUUGGGUUGCAUCCUGUCCUCGCACAGUUCAAUGGCUCCAGACAGAAAACGCUUUGAACAGCCAGUGUGCAGGGAGUCAUCUGUGUUUUGCAGCAUUUGGACACCAUGGGGCUGUUAAUUGCAGGUUCUCUGUCACAUGUUAAUUAGACAUGACCGUGACACUCGUUACAGUAUAGCCUUUUAUGUCAAUGUAAUUGCUAGUGAUUGAUGGAUAGCCCUUGGCUCUCUUUAAAAAACGUACAGGGACUCUUCAUCACCUUCAAAAUGAGCUCAGUAAUAACAUGAGUCCAGGGGCCAGGCUUUAAAAUUAUAUAUUUCCUUCAUUUCGCUUGAUAUUGUUUGUUUUUGUGUUCAACCUUUUCCGGAAUGAAUUUGAUCCAUUUUUCAAAAGGAACAUUUGGUCCAUCAGAAUGAGAAGCGGAAGAAUCGGUGUCAUCAAUAGUCACAGGAUAACUUGUUUGAUGACUAAAGCCUAUUGCUGACCAAAUGUGUCUGUUUAAUUUAACAAAGGUAUAAAGGGCCUUUGCAGUUAGGCCGUUCCCCAGCUGCUCACUCGGCGCGGUCCAAAUAUUGGCAUUUGGAGUGGCUAUGUUGCCAUUUUGGAGUAUGGCAUCUUUUGAUGUGCAGAGAACUAAAACGAUGGAAUCCCUGUCUACUGCUGAUUUUUUGGCCAUCUAGUUUUAAGAAGAAAUAAAUACAAUUAGUAUCAAAUACUUUAUUUCUGCAAUGUCUAAUUAAAGUGUCAUGUACCCAACAUGGGGCCUGAUUAAAAUCAUUAAAAAUUGAUCUAAACCUUACAGCAAAUGCAAUGCAUUUGAAAACCACUUACAUUCUAUCUUUUACAUGCAUAGGUAACGCUUACCCAUGUUAAUUUCUUUGCAAAUUAACUUGUAUUUAGGUCUGAUGCAUUUGCAAAUGAGUAAAUGUUAAAUGGUAGCAUAAAAUUAGAAAGCUAAUUAACCUUGCAUUUCUGCAUUAUCAGUGUGCAUUAAGCUUUGUAUACUUACUACUUUUUAUAAUUACUGAGCUGGAAAAGUAAAACUUGCAAAAGCUGCGUUAAAACUUUCAAUUCCAUAGGUGUACCAGUCUGUCUACCGCCCCCCAGAGGCAGUGAAGCCUUGUUCAUGAUACUAAUUUGAAACGUAAAUGGUAAAUGGGUCGUACUUGUAUAGCGCUUUUUUACCUUUUUAAGGAACUCAAAGCGCUUUGACACUAUUUUCCACAUUCACCCAUUCACACACACACACAUUCACACACUGAUGGCGGGAGCUGCUAUGCACGGCGCUAACCAUUCCCAUCAGGAGCAAGGGUGAAGUGUCUUGCUCAAGGACACAACGGACGUGACUGGGUUGGUAGAAGGUGGGGAUUGAACCAGCAACCCUCAGAUUGCUGGCACGGCCACUCUCCCAACUUCGCCACGCCGUCCCCAUUCAUUUGUGCCGUAAUUAAUAAGUCAUAAAUUAAAGCAACACAAUCGACAGUUUGAACGGCACAAACCAGAAAAAGCAUAGCACAAACAAAUGAGACCACUAUUUUUUGUUUGGACCACAAAUGAGACUUUUGGUCGAAAACUGAGAAUUCCGGUUCGGUCGUGAUAUCACUUCCUAAAUAGUUAAUCGUUAAUAACUCAUAAAGUAUAGCAGCACAAUUGAUCAUUUCAACUGCAAGAACCUAGCACAGACGAAUGAGACUAUUUUGGUUUACUUUGAGAUUAUUUUGGCCUAAUUUGAGGAACUCUGAGUAGGUUCACGAUGACAUCACUUCCGGAAAUUUUAAACGUUAAUAUCUCGAAAACGAAAGCAGCUCAAUCAAUAAUUUUUGCUGCACAAGCAUAGCACAAACGAAAGACUAAUUUGACUUAAUUUGGAGAGCGGGGGGCUGAGUCACCUUUGAUUGACCUGUAAAAGAAUCAUUAAUAACUCAGAAACGAAAGCAGCAUAAACAACCAUUUCAACUGCUUAAACCGGCACAAACGAAUGAGACCAUUUUGGUUUAAUUUGGAGAAAGUGUGUGUGGGGCAAGGGCUGGGUGAACUUUGACCUAUAAAAGAAUCUUAUAACUCCGAUUUUUUUCUAACAGGCACACCAAUGUGGUUUGUAAAUGAUGCAAAACCGCGCCACCUUUUCCGCGCUCACCCUUAAGAGCACAGCUGUAACUUCCUGGCACUAAACCUGCAGAAAGUACUUCUCAGGUUUCUCUAGGUUUACAUUUUCACACUUUGUACAAUUUUCUUACACUUUAUUUAUAUUUAUUAUUACACAUAUUCCCUAUUUUUGCACCUUCAUUUUAAGAUGUUAUUGUUAAGUGUUCAAUGUGAUUUUACAGUUUUGUUGACAUUUCCUUUCCUUUCUGCCUUGAUAGCUG